UCCUGGCAGUUGAAUGAUAGUCCUCUUGCCCGCUUGUAAUAGCUGCCAAUCUUCAGAUGUCACUGCUGCUUCCCCAUCUGUAUGCUCUUUGCAUAUCACCUUUCCUCCUACAUACAGUAUACCCCUCCCCACUCUGUCUUAGUAUUUGUUUUUAUAAGCUAAGAGCUUGGGCAGGGGAGGCUACCUCUAGACUUUGGCCCGUCCUUGAAAACGCCAGGGUGUGGCUAAAUUAUUACAGGCCAUUGGAACAUGGGCUUGGAAGCUUGUGAGUAAAGUUUGAGUUAAUGAAUGUACAGUAUGAGGGAAAUGGGGUGAGAAGCGUUUCUGCCUGGCUGCAGCUACUUUUCCCAACUUCACUCCCUCACAGGAUGCACCAAGGAGAAAAGUGAUACAGCUCUUUGAACCGUGCAAAGUAGAGACGAUCAUUCAGCAAUGCAUCUCCUGCUUCUGCAUGGCUUUCUGUCUGCUUGAUGCCACAGAGAGUAUUGGUGAUACCAGAUCCCAAACUGGUGGAUGACCUCACCCAUGGAUUUCAUGUAGAUGUUGAAUAGGAGAGGAAAGAGGAUUGAUCCCUGUGGAACACCCCAGAGGAGGAGCCUAGAGAGUGACCUCUCCUUCCCAACCAACAUUGACUGGAACCAGCCCUGAAGAAAGUGACAUCCUACAACCGAACAAUGACCUGACAAUGACAAUGAGAAGGGAGAAGGGCCAUCACAACCAUGGUUCUGUGGAAAAGGUGCCUGAAGGUAGAAGGAGGAAGACCUAUAAUGGCCACUAUGAAGCUGUUCGGCAGAACUUUUCCUCACUACUCCUGGACUAUCACCUCCAAGUGCCCGUUUCAAAGACAACAGCCAGCCCCAGAAAACUGUUCAGCUUAGCUCAGGACUGUCCUGAGGGAAGUAUGUUCUUUCUUUCUAAGAAUAUGUAUUGUAUUUAUAUGACAUUUGUUUCUUUCUUUCUUUACGCUGCUUCAGGAACAUGUUUGUCUUGAAAAUG